UGCCUUUUGAAGCUUUUUAUAAAAGGUUUAUUCUGCUCAGUGGUUUUAAACAGCCGCGGUAAUUUGACCGUGCAAAGGUAGCAUAAUCAUUUGCCUUAUAAUUGGGGGCUAGAAUGAAAGAAUGAACAAGAGUUUUACUUUAUUUUUAAGAAAAAAAUAAUUUUCUUUUUCAGUGAAGAAGCUGAAAUAGUGAAAGGGGACAAGAAGACCCUUUUGAGCUUUACUAAUAAUUAUCUUUUUGGUGGUAUAUUAGUUUGGUUGGGGCGACCUAGGAAGAGGAUCUUCCUUAAUAUAUAUUGAUCCGCUGUUUGUGAUUAAAAGAGUAAGUUACCAUAGGGAUAACAGCGUAAUCUUUUUUGAGAGUUCUUAUUAAAAAAGUGGAUUGCGACCUCGAUGUUGACUUAUAUUUUCCCUUUGGUGUAGCCGCUAAUAGGGAGGGUCUGUUCGACCUUUAAAAUUUU
rnacentral:rRNA from 1 species